rnacentral:rRNA from 1 species
AGUGAACGCUGGCGGUAGGCCUAACACAUGCAAGUCGAACGGCAGCACAGUAAGAGCUUGCUCUUACGGGUGGCGAGUGGCGGACGGGUGAGGAAUACAUCGGAAUCUACUUUUUCGUGGGGGAUAACGUAGGGAAACUUACGCUAAUACCGCAUACGACCUACGGGUGAAAGCAGUGGAUCUUCGGACCUUGCGCGAUUGAAUGAGCCGAUGUCGGAUUAGCUAGUUGGCGGGGUAAAGGCCCACCAAGGCGACGAUCCGUAGCUGGUCUGAGAGGAUGAUCAGCGACACUGGAACUGAGACACGGUCCAGACUCCUACGGGAGGCAGCAGUGGGGAAUAUUGGACAAUGGGCGCAAGCAUGAUCCAGCCAUCCCGCGUGGGUGAAGAAGGCCUUCGGGUUGUAAAGCCCUUUUGUUGGGAAAGAAAAGCAGCAGGUUAAUACCCCGCUGUUCUGACGGUACCCAAAGAAUAAGCACCGGCUAACUUCGUG